UGUCUCGUCUCUUGUUUGUGUGCUGUGUCGGUCUGGGUGUGCUUGUCUCAGUCGGAGCUGCUCUGCCUGGGUGCAUAGAGGUGACAGUCAGCCAAAGAAGUACAGUGAGGGUCUGUGUCAAUAAGCCUAGAGUUUGUAGGGAAAGGGCAUACCGUCCAUUUCAGAGCAACUAGUUGUGUAGGCAACAGGCAAGGAGGGUUCUUUCUGUAGCGCUACGCAGACACGCAGGGGAUGAGCAGAGUGUUUUUAACAGCAGGCUGUAGAGAGAAUUGGGAUGGCAUACCUAAAUGGAAAUGGGAUCUCUGGAACUGUUAAGCUAUUGUUCUGCAUCCAGGGGACUCAUUCAAUCUCGCUUUUGCAGAUGAAGAGGGAUGACUCGCUCACCUAAUGGCAACGGAGGAGGUGAACGGAGCGGUUUAAGAAGGUGGGUUGGCGUGCAGCAUCGGGGGAAGGUGGGACCGGUGGCUGUAUGACUAGCCGAUCGGUGCGUUUUACUUGGAAGGCGCAAAGCGUCGAGCAAAGCGAGGUGUCACACGGGUGAAGGUAGAAGCACGCCUCGUUGUUUGUCUUGCGAGCGGUACCCGAGCCUCAACGUGACAACCUGUAAACUGUAGAGGUGGAGCGGGUGACGCACGUAGCCUCGGGAGGGUGAAGGAGCGUGCUGAGGAGCAAUCUGAGAAGGUGCCACGUGAGCCACCUUUGGGAUCAUCUGAGUAUCCGAAAGCAGCCGGGGUAGUAGCGAGGACGAGCACAGGGUCGGUGACUUCUCACAAGCGCAACGGUACCUUUGUCUCUCGGUAAGUUAGGUACCGCCAGCGACAAGGGCUGCGGCAUCUGACUCCAAAACAAGCAGGUGAUAAAGGGAUCUGGCCACCGCAGGAACAUGCCAGUUAGCUGCUGUGCUGCUUUUGUCCAGGGUGGAUUCAGACCUCUGGCCCUCUGAAAGCUAAGUCGAGGGAACAGGGCCGAGAGGAGGGGAUGAGGUUGGGAAUCACAGGGAGGUUUUUGAAAGUUAACAUAGGAGAGAGUGCCAUGUGGGAGCAGCGCCCUUCGGUCCGGUAAAGGGAGCAGAUUACUUUUCCGCUCGAUGUUAGCAUGUCCUGGGCAGGGCAGCUCCAGCCUCUGUGUGUGUCAUCGUGUAGUUUGUUUCUUCUGUCUGCUGUGUCUUUCACCUUCCUCGGAUCUCUAUGUCCUCACAUCUCUUUGUGCUCGAGGAGCACGGCAUGCACCUCAGGCACCAUCCCUAGGGCACCGAACGCCCAUCUUCACCGGCACGCUGCUGAUCGCGUGCUUUUUAUUCUUGCGUUGUAAGCUUAAAGCGUGGGUAGGUCUUGGAAGCUUCCAGUCGGGAGUCAUUUGCGCAGCAUCGUCGCAGGCUGCGGCGUCAGCUCUGCUCCAUAGGCAUCCAUUUUCACAGACUGGGACGUCUUCCCUACAUCUUAGGUCUCAGAGAGUCAUAUUUCUCAUCCACUGUCUCGGUUUUGAUGCUAGCUUCUUAUAACGGGCCAUAACGCGUGACUCUUCUGGGGCUGCCCUAUAGCCUUCUCGCCUCACAGUUGUGGCCCUCUAGGUCUCCUCACCUGACAUCGUAUCUUGUCUGAGAGUCCUUAUCACUUAGAGUUUAUCUUUGAAUCGAACCUUUUGUAGCGUUUAGCUUUAGUGUAUGCAUGUGCGUUUUUGGCUCGGAGCUGCCCUGCCUGGGGGGUGUAGAGUCAGGAGU